AACGAACGCUGGCGGCAGGCCUAACACAUGCAAGUCGAGCGCCCCGCAAGGGGAGCGGCGGACGGGUGAGUAACGCGUGGGAACGUACCCUUUGCUACGGAAUAGCCUCGGGAAACUGGGAGUAAUACCGUAUGUGUCCUUCGGGAGAAAGAUUUAUCGGCAAGGGAUCGGCCCGCGUUGGAUUAGGUAGUUGGUGGGGUAAUGGCCUACCAAGCCGACGAUCCAUAGCUGGUUUGAGAGGAUGAUCAGCCACACUGGGACUGAGACACGGCCCAGACUCCUACGGGAAGCAGCAGUGGGGAAUCUUAGACAAUGGGCGCAAGCCUGAUCGAGCCAUGCCGCGUGAGCGAUGAAGGCCUUAGGGUUGUAAAGCUCUUUCAGGGGGGAAGAUAAUGACUGUACCCCCAGAAGAAGCCCCGGCUAACUCCGUG
rnacentral:rRNA from 1 species